CAAAUGCUUCACUAUAGCAGCAAUGAAGUAGAGUGAUAGCAAAGUCAAUGUCUUAAAGAACAAAAAGAAAUGGAUUACUUUGUUAGAAUUAAAACAUUUAAAAAUAACUGGAAUACCUCCAUCCUGAGAUCAAGUUAGGAAAACAGCCCAAACACCUCAGAGCUGGUGCUUUGAUUGAAUUACUCCACCAGGACCACUACUUUAUGCCCAACAGGCGUUGGAUCAGUGUUGACCAAUGGCAAUAUGUGUGGUAUGUGUGAAGGAAUGGUUGUGCCUAGUCCCUGAACAGCAAUACAGUACUGCUCAUGCAGUCUUAACAUUAAAUAUCUGAUACCCUGUAUCAAAAGAGUGCUAGCUUUACUUCCAUUUUUAUAAGGGACAAGUUUAAGGAACUUAAGUAAUUACCCAGUGUGUUUUGCUGGCUUGAGAAACUUCUAAAACAUAACACACAGCGCCACCUAAUGGAAUGAACAAACAUCUCUACUGUAAGAGCACAGUGGUGUCAUGGACAAUAUGGAAACAAGUGCAUUUGAAUGC
rnacentral:lncRNA from 1 species